rnacentral:rRNA from 1 species
UACGUAGGGUGCGAGCGUUAAUCGGAAUUACUGGGCGUAAAGCGUGCGCAGGCGGUUUGUUAAGACAGAUGUGAAAUCCCCGGGCUUAACCUGGGAACUGCAUUUGUGACUGGCAAGCUAGAGUAUGGCAGAGGGGGGUAGAAUUCCACGUGUAGCAGUGAAAUGCGUAGAGAUGUGGAGGAAUACCGAUGGCGAAGGCAGCCCACUGGGCCAAUACUGACGCUCAUGCACGAAAGCGUGGGGAGCAAACAGG